AUUGAACGCUGGCGGCAGGCUUAACACAUGCAAGUCGAACGAGUGGCGGACGGGUGAGUAAUGCUUUGGAAUCUAGCUUAUGGAGGGGUCUAACUACGGUAAACUGUAGCUAAUACCGCGUACCAUAGGAUGAGCCCAAGUGGGAUUAGGUAGUUGGUGGGGUAAAGGCUCACCAAGCCGACGAUCCCUAGCUGGUCUGAGAGGAUUACCAGCCACAUGGGGACUGAGAAACGGCCCAGACUCCUACGGGAGGCAGCAGUGGGGAAUAUUUCGCAAUGGGGGCAACCUGACGCAGCAAUGCCGCGUGAGUGAAGAAGGCCUUCGGGUUGUAAAGUUCUGUCGGUAGAGAGGCGUUAACUACAGAAGAAGCAACGGCUAACUACGUGCCAGCAGCCGCGGUAAUAC
rnacentral:rRNA from 1 species